ACUAAAGUGAUCUGUGAGAGCAUCUCCUUUCCUCAUUGCUGGCAAGAGCUUUUGCAAGUGGAGUUCCUCUAAGAGAGUUUAUUUUGAUGAAGUUGGAGUGUAUGUUUAUGUUUUUCUUUGGCAGAAACUACAUGUAGAUGUCCUGGGGUUUCAAGAUAACUGAAAUUGCCUUUUUAAUAGCUAGACUAUUUGCUCAACGUCCGCAUUGCUGUUUUGCUUUCAUCUGGGAUAGAGUUAAAUUUCUUCCUAGUAGCUGGUGUGGUGCUGUGUUUUGGAUUCAGAAUGAGAAUAGUGUUGAUCACGCAUCAAUAUUUCAGUUGUUGCUGAGCAGUGUUUACACUAAUUCAAGGACUUUUCUAUUUUUUGCACUGCUCUGUCAGCAAGAGGGCUGGGAAUGGGCACAAGAAGCUGGGAGGGGACAGAACCAGGACAGCCAUUCUAAACUGGCCAAAGGGAUAUUCCAUACCAGAUGGUGUCGUGCUGAACAACAAAACGGGAAGGAGUUGGCUGGGGGUUGGCCACUGGUCAGAGUUUGGGCUGGGCAUCAGGUAGUGGGUGGUGGACAACUGGGAUAUGCGUCACUUGCUUUGUUUAUAGUUUUAUCGUCAUUACUAUUUCCUCUUCUUUUCCUGUCCUAUUAUACUAUCUUUAUCUCACACGGCGAGGUGUACUGGUUCCUGCUACUUCUGGAAGCAAGGUUACCCAGUAAAGCUGAUACCGUUCUGCCAGUUCUCUCAUAGCUGCAAGAUUGUCUACCAUGCUUUGAACUCAGGAAAUCUUGUUUUUGAAACAUGCAACUCAGCAGUCAUGGAAGAGAGAAAGCUGUGGAAGAGGAAUAGAGGAGGGCUGCCCACCUCCUCCUUCAGAUGGGAAAGUCCUCACAGUUGUUUUCCCGCCAACCACGUCUGAACAUUGGAAUCUGCCCCAAGUUUCUGCGUGAGUUGAUGAGAAGAUGUGCUUUGGGCUGAUGCUAAUAAUUUUGAUUUCUGGGACUGGAAAUAAAGACAAAAAGGCACCUUAAUUCUAUCCACUAAAUCUUCUCAGAGGAAUUCUCUUGGCCUCUUCUGUUACAAGCAUCAUCCUUUGGUUUUCUCUUCAAAACUAUUUUAUGUACUGGGAGUCGUCAUCCCGGGAGGCAUGAACAAGAAUCUGGUGACAGGAGCAUCAUGAAGUUCAAGACUUCAAAUGUGAAGUCCUGCACCCUGUAAAUAGUGACACCAUGCAACAGUACAAACUGGGGACAGGCUGACUAGAAACUAGCUUUACAUAAGAGGACCUAGAGGUCCUGAUGGACAUCGAGCUGAAUGUGAGUCAAGAAUGUGCCACUGCGUGAAUGAGAGCCAAGCACAAAAGACACUGGGCUGCAUUAGUAACAGCAGAGGCAGUGGGUUGAGAUAGCCAGCAGAGGUGAAUAUUGCACCCCUCUGAGGAGAAGAAAAUCCCCCAGGCAAGCAGAGAGCAAGAUUGACAUUUCUCAUUAUUUCUGUACUCCAGGUAAUAUAUAUAAACUUUUUUUUUUUUUUUCCCUGGGAGCCCUUCAAACCAAGCAAAUGAAGACAUUUCUUCUGUACAGUCAACGACACUCCAAAAGGUCUGAUCUGCUCUCUGAAAUUUCCCCUGAUUUUGCUGUGGCCCUCAGGCUGUAACUCAGUGAUCUCAGGCACACAACGUGGCUAUCCCAAAAUCUCAAGUUUUGCUUUGACCAAGUAUUUACCAUAACGAAUAGAAACUAUUCCUUGAACAACAACGUCUUUUACCACUUGCAAAUCUCCAUCUAAUCUGACUGUCCUUAUCUAUAAGCGGAGAGAAUGAAAAGCAGGGAUAUAAAACCCAAAGGUUAAGUACAUAUUUUUUGCAACUGUUUAAUGUUCAGCAUUCUCAUGUUGUGAAGAACAUGCAAAGUUUCUGCAUUCUUUCUAUUGGGUGCAUUCGUUACCAAAGCAGACUUGCUAUCGGUUUGGGAUGUAAACUGACCUGGUGUCACUGCAAUUUGCCUGUUUUCAUGUGUGUGUUUGGUUUGCUUUUGGCAUACAGGCACUUACGACUGAUCCAAAGUCAUUCAAAAGCUCAGCAGAUGCUUCUGUGAAUCUCUUCUAUGUUUAGAAAUGGAAAUGAAGCACGAAACCAGGUGCUUUCUGUGCUGUCCUGAAUUAUGGAUUUUAUCCUUCAUGUUAUAACACAGUUUACUUGUCUUCUGGUUUAUCAUUUUUGAAGAAGGUAUGAGGUAAAAUACCAAGAUCUCCCUGACAGAGUCUUGUAGGACUCCAGGAACUGCUGUCUUCUGUACGGGUCCUCUCCAAUUCAACAGCACCCUUUCAGCUGACAUCAAAAGGGGUGAGUGAGGGCUGUGUGGAGUACAAGGAGCCAACACUGCUAAUAAGACAGAAAUUUGCCACUGAUUUUGUGAAAUUCUCUGUACUGGAUUAUACAGGAGAUCAGAAAAGAAGAUUUUCAGAGUCUCUUCCUCUAACUCUUGCAACUUACUCUUGGGAACUGGUAUUAUCAGAUUUCAGAGACUAAACUGACCUCUCUGUAAGCUGAGCUCAGAAGAUGAAGGCCAAUAAUGGGAGAAGGAGCACAUCUCAAGGCAAAAGGUUUAACCGUCUGCCUCUUGGUAACCUGCAGGAAAUCCACCAACCAUCAUUUCAUUUGCAGCGAUUAAAGCCUGGAUGUUGGCAGAUGUGCACACACAUUCUUGCCCCACAGACCAAACAGAGCAACUUCAGAAGUGCAGCAGGAGUUCCUUUAAAACAGACUGGGAAGGAAAGGUGGGAAUGAACG
ensembl:lncRNA